UGGGGAAUAUUGGACAAUGGGGGCAACCCUGAUCCAGCCAUGCCGCGUGAGUGAAGAAGGCCUUCGGGUUGUAAAGCUCUUUUGGCGGGGACGAUGAUGACGGUACCCGCAGAAUAAGCACCGGCUAACUUCGUGCCAGCAGCCGCGGUAAUACGAAGGGUGCGAGCGUUGUUCGGAGUCACUGGGCGUAAAGGGCGCGUAGGCGGUUAUCCAAGUUAGGUGUGAAAGCCCUGGGCUCAACCCGGGAAUUGCACUUGAUACUGGAUGGCUAGAGAGAGGAAGAGGAUAGCGGAAUUCCUAGUGUAGAGGUGAAAUUCGUAGAUAUUAGGAAGAACACCAGUGGCGAAGGCGGCUAUCUGGUCCUUUUCUGACGCUGAGGCGCGAAAGCGUGGGGAGCAAA
rnacentral:rRNA from 1 species